UGGCGUCCCCUUCACCGCCGCCGAUGCGGCAGUUCUUUUCCGUCCCGGGCGCAGCAGGAGCAAGACGAAGCUUCGUGUCUAGCGAAACCCGAGCCUGGAUUGCGACGCCGCCGGGAAAGGCAGUCGUGGCGCACGGUGGCCGCAAACGGAAGGCGUGCAGCGCGUCGAAGAACCCCGUCCCAUAUGUGUACCUGCAGGGCACCUCGGGAGUAAACGAACGGGCAGAGUUCGUGUGCCGGAUUGACGACUCACUCUCUAUGCAACGCAGCCGAAAUGGAGUCGCCAUGCGUCCCAGCAACCACACGCCUGGUCCCGUGCUUGGAAGCGUAAUCCGCUGAGUCACCCUCGUGGGUCUGAGAAGUCACAUAUGCCUCCUGCAUACAUCCGGUCUGGACGUUGCCAUUAAUCGCCUUGUGUCGUCUGCUGCGCUACCAAGCCGUCGUCUGCUCGGAGUGCCCCUGCGCUUGAAGGUUGUACAGUGCGAUACAGAGAACACGCUGAUGCGCGUCUGCCCUCCGCUGGCGU